rnacentral:rRNA from 1 species
CCUACGGGUGGCAGCAGUGGGGGAUAUUGCACAAUGGGGGGAACCCUGAUGCAGCGACGCCGCGUGGGUGAAGCAGCGCCUCGGCGCGUAAAGCUCUUUCAGCAGGGAAGAAAAUGACGGUACCUGAAGAAGAAGCCCCGGCUAACUACGUGCCAGCAGCCGCGGUAAUACGUAGGGGGCAAGCGUUAUCCGGAUUUACUGGGUGUAACGGGGGCGCAGACGGCAACGCAAGCCAGGAGUGAAAUCCCGGGGCGCAACCCCGGGACUGCUAUUGGAACUGCGUGGCUGGAGUGCAGGAGGGGUAGGCGGAAGUCCUGGUGUAGCGGUGAAAUGCGUAGAUAUCAGGAGGAACACCGGUGGCGAAGGCGGCUUGCUGGACUGCAACUGACGUUGAGGCCCGAAAGCGUGGGGAGCAAACAGGAUUAGAUACCCUGGUAGUC